rnacentral:lncRNA from 1 species
UCUAAGUCAUUUCCUAAGGGUGAGAAAAUCUUUUUGGGGCAGGAAAUUAGGGAAUUCUUUGUCUUGGCCAUAGGGUUGGCUAUUGUGUUCUUGUAUUCACAUAUUAAUAUAAGUUGGGAAGAAAUUCCUGUAUAUCGUGUGUGCCUUUAUUUACUGUUUUUGCUGCCUAUUUUCAUUCUAAGUGCAAACGUCCCUAAAAAUAAAACUAAGUGUUGGAAAGGCUGAAGUCAAGGCUAGGCUUGAUUGCCGCACAGAGGUGAACCUCGGGCAGAAUUCGAGUGACAUAAAUCACCCAUGUGACAACUAGCACGAUGUAUAAGUAUACCAAAUAGGUAUAUUAUUAUUUUACGUCUAUUCUUACCAUAUCAUGCAAAAAACUGUGGGAUAUGUGGUCGACACACAAUUUUGCAUUCUUUAACAUGGUAUUUACAAAAUUAAUCUCUCUAUAAUCAAAUAGGGCAAGAACAGGGGAGCAUGUGGCUGGUUUUCUCAGUGCUUUGUCUGGUAUGAAUAUAUCAUCUUCCUCAUCUGCUACCUACACAAGAAGUUAUGUUGAGGAAGAUUAGUAGAACUAUCAGCAGGAGAAUAGGGAAAAACAAACCAAAGAAGUGGCACCAGUAGUGUAAUUCGCCAAAGACCCACAACGCUAAAUACUGUUUGUACGCCUAACAAACUAUGAGUUCCGUAUCAACAGAUAGUAAGUCCAAUUUGCAUGGGUACUCAGGAAGACGUUAAAUAGUUUGGUAGUAUAGUAAUUGCUAGCACAUACACAUUGCGCUCUGCAAUCGCUACUUUAUGUCUCGCUGCAAAAGUAUAAAGAGAAGGAUUUGAGUUCGCAAGUAAAUUCAAGUACUAUUCUUCUUUUCAACUCCUAGUUCUUUAAAUUUUCAAUCGCUACUCCCUUUUUACCUAUUCUGACAAUAGUAAUCUUAAUGUCCAUGCUGCAACAUAAUGUCUUCAGAUUUCAAGAGAAAUAACCAUUGCAUCUAUGUGUGAAAGAUGAUCUCAAGGAUCGGAGUGUCCGAAAUAAAGAAAGCUAGAAAUUUUAAAUGUAUGUUGGCCACUUCCCUACAGUGAAUGGUUAAUAUCCUUGCAAUUAUAAUUCUUGUCCAAAUAAUUAGCCCAUCCUGUUCCUACAAGGCAAAAGAAAAUUACGACUUCAAAAGGAUCUGAUAUAAUAUAGUAACUGUUACUGGGUAAAUGGCAUCUGGUUUCGUAGUCAUGUCAAAUAUUUUCCUUUGCAUGUUCAGAAGCGGUAGUCAUCUCUUAGGAUAAUUAAAUACAAAAGACAGAGUGAAACCAAAGGGAAAAAAUUAUUUUUACAAAUUACUUAUUCACAAAAAUGGAAGGAAAAAAAAGCCAAAAUGAAAUUCUUUUUUCUUGAACAGAGGUGAUUGAAGAUGAAUCUUGAAACGCAUAUCCAUUUAUAAGUGAUUAGGAGGCAAUAGAAUGAGAGAUAGGGGCAAGGAUGUGUGGAUCAUGGAAAGGGAGCUUGAAAAGGAAAGUAGAGCUGAACGACGGCAAUUUUAAGCAGAGCCUAUUCCAUUUGCAGAACCACACAAUAUGUGGAAACUUUAUCUUUGGAUAUAUUUGUGUCUCAGAUAAUCACACAUAGUACCUCAUUAAGGAAAUUUCACGGGGCCUUACCUUUGGCCUGCUUGUUGUUUUGCUUUCUGCAUUUUGAUAAUUUUCUCUGUCGCCUCCCCUCAAGUUGCUGAGUUAAUGGCUAUAUUCUUGAAAUGUGGUGCAGCCAACAAAAAGACACUCACUUUAUAGCUGUAUAAAACAGAUAAAAUUUGUUGGACCAAUAAUUGUGAACUGCUAACGGAAGUAAAGCAUUCCCUUUAUUAAGAUUUUGUACGAUUGACGAGUAGCCUCUUUUCCCUUAUUUAUUUUUGAUGCACCCACGAGGUUCCCAUAUGUAUAUACGAUAGGGUGUCUUAUGUAGAAAACCAUGUCUUUUUGUAAGGUUUUAUUUUUUGGGGGUAUACGCCUUGUAUACAGGCAUGUUUUGGCCCUUCUUUUAAUGAGAUUUAUUACCUCAUCAAAAAAACUGAUACAGCUAAACAGUGGCUAAAAGUCCUGUCGCACAUCUUUCCCAACAUUGUGCAACUAAAAAGAGAGAGUCGAGUAUUUGAAACUACUUAAACAAGGAAGCAUUCUAUUUUUUUUUAUCUGAACUAACAGGGAAGCAUUCUAAUGGAAGCCAAAACAAAGACAAAGUGUUUUUCAAUUGCCCGACACCUUAAAGGUAUUUUCCUUACUUUUACUAAAACAAGAACCUGUUCUCACAAAGGAAAUUAGAAAGCUAGUGACACAGCUUAGCUCAACUCAAAUUGAAUGAAACAUAACCAUAUUGGACUCCACUAAUGCAGGCCGCGACAGCUAAUAUUGAACAGCAAAAAAACAACAGAUGAAAAGGAGGUGUGAUAAGCAGAGUUAGCAUCGACAAAAGCUAUUUAAAGACAUAAUUUGUUACCUAAAAAUGCCUUUAGAUCAAAAGCACCGUGAAGACAAACUCUCAAAAAUGUAACAAUUGGAUCCCUUGCAUUCCACUAUGAUAUCAGUCAGGAUGGACAAACACUGAGAUUUAAACCUGCGAGUUUGGAGAGUUAAGUUCAAAUGCAGUUACCUUCAAAUUUUCAUAUACAAGGUUUUUGCACAGAAGUGACCUAUUCAAGGACUAUAUUAGUUAUGUAUUACAGCAAAGUUAUGUAAAAGUUCAUUAUCACCUCUGACAGAAGGAAUUCACAAUAGGCAACCAUUAUAUUCAAAACUACUUUAGGCUUGUCCUGAUAAACAUGUGUGGACGAAGUUAUAUGUCGAAGACUGCAAGACACUCAUUCAUGCACUUCAAAACCAACAAGGCAACAGACUCCAUUUUUCUGUGUUCUGAUUUUAAGAGGCCUCCCGACAACACUGAGCAGCACAAAAUAAAUAAGAAAAAAAUAACAGAAGACCGAUAAAACCACCAAAGCAAUAAAAUCCGAUUACUCCAUGCUCAUAUUUACUUUACGCGGCUUGAAAAGAUAGAUACACAGAAGACACGGAAAAAAAAAAGAUUGAAAACAAAGCAUAGAUAGGAAAAAUAACAGGAAUUAUAAUCACAAUUAAAUCUGAAAUUGACUGAAAAGACUUAACAAAAGAUUGAGGCAAUAACAGAGAAGGAACUAAAGAGAAGCAAAAAAAAAUGGACCAAGGGGAAAACCAGAAGAAUCAAAAUAUGGGAAAGAAGAACAACAUAAAUACCAACGCUUUGAUUGCAAAAGGAAAACAAUAAGAAAAGAUAGCUGCAUAAUAUAAUGUAGGAUGCAUCAGAUAGCAUGCAUUCUCAUACCCAAAAAAGAGGGGGGAAAGAAACAAGAAGAAAACCAGAAGCACAAAAAAUCCAGAGCAUGGUUUCUAGAAGCUUCAAAAUACAACACAACAAUUCGAAGGAUAAAUCGGCAAAAAUGGAAAAGCAUCACUUGCAAUAACAUUGGAUGAUGAUAUCAUAGUCCUCACAUAUAUGAAGCUCAAGAAAUAUCAAAGAAAAGGUGAGAAGGAAUGAUAUUCGACAUGCUUGUGACAAAAAUAUUUCUAGAAUUUUUUUCUAUAUCGCCAAGAAGAAAGCACACUUAGUUUCAAUCUCUUCUAUGGAACUUCCUCUGAACUCUGAAGAUUCUUUAUUUCCUAAAUACAUGGAUAUCUCGGUUUUCCUGAGUAACAAUAUUACCCUCCAUAUAGCAUUUUACCCAACAAAAAAAAUAGAAAUAAUAAGGUAUCCAGAACAUGAGCCCAGACAUCUAUUUCAAAACAUACCUAGAGAGAAAGAAGAAAAACUAAAACCGGAGAAAAUUAAACCAAAACUCACAGGUAGAUCUCGCUGGAAUAGAAGAAACCAAAGCUUCCGGAAGAAGUGGAGAGACUCGAGAAAAAGCUGACACAUAAAUUACUGAAGAAGCCAGAAUGAGAUAGAAACAGAGAGUCCAG